rnacentral:lncRNA from 1 species
CCCGCCCUUUAACUGUGUCAAAGGUUGUGUCCUGCCCUUUAACUGUGUCAAAGGUUGUGUCCUGCCCUUUAACUGUGUCAAAGGUUGUGUCCUGCCCUUUAACUGUGUCAAAGGUUGUGUCCUGCCCUUUAACUGUGUCAAAGGUUGUGUCCUGCCCUUUAACUGUGUCAAAGGUUGUGUCCUGCCCUUUAACUGUGUCAAAGGUUGUGUGUGAGAGAGAGAGGGUGUGUGUGAGAGAGAGAGGUUGUGUGUGUGAGAGAGAGGGUGUGUGUGUGACAGUGUGAGAGAGAGGGGUGUGUGUGUGAGAGGGUGUGUGUGUGACAGUGUGUGUGGAGGAUGAUAAUGCUAGUAGCAGAUAUAGAUCCUCAACACAGCAGUCCAAGCCACAGCAGCAUCUACAUGUCUACAUUACCAGAG